GUCACAAAUACAACAGGCUGGGGUUGUGGGUGGGGAGGGCAGGAAGGACUAGUGACCCCGUUUAGUGCAAAGUUUAGUGCGAUUAUGGUUAUGGGUAGGUCAUGGGUUUUGAGCCCAGCCAGGUUUAUCAGUAACUGCCACCUCCCUUCCAUGGAUUAACUGACUUUACUGAGGUUCGCCUGAUGCCUGGCCCCACAGUUAGCACUCAGUAAAAGUUAGCUCUCACCGAACUUCAAAAGAAGGAGAUCACUUUCAUCAACUCUGCAGGCAUAAGUUCGAACAAUCUCAGCAGGUGCAGUCAACUGGCCGCCUCCUUGGUAGGAAGGAAGCAAUUAACAGGCCGAGUCUUGUGUUUUGUUGCUGUUGGGGGUGGGGAGGAGGGGAGGAUUCACAAGAGCCCCAAAAAGGGCUGUGUCAGGGAAACACAGAGUUGAAGGCAGAUCAAGUCUGCUAGAGAGGGUUUCGUUUUGGAGGGGUCGGCUGGGGACACGAGUGGGGCGACCUGAGGUGUGUGAGAGCUGCUGGGGCUCCUGGACCUCCCAGACACCGCAGCCCGGGGGACCAGGAGAGGAGGCCACCACAGCUCCUGUCACCUGUUGCCUCCCCUCCAGCACAGUGCUCCAUGCCUCCUUCCCUGAGCUUGCAACCCAGGGAGGGUGAGGAACAGAUGGCUCUGGCCACCUCGAGGAACCGCCUGACGAUCAGUACGACCAACAGUCAGUGCCCACCGUCUCCACCGGUCACCAGGGUGGAGUGUCAGGGGCCACCGGGGGAAGCGAGACCUCCUGCUCUCCUGACUCGUCCAGUGUCAUCUGCUUGGGGUGGCUGGUUGUGAAGAGUAAAGGACAGAGGAGACUGGAAUUACUCCCACAUUUCUGGCUUCAGCCACUGGGUCACGACCUGAGCUGAAACUAAGAGCCAGAUCCUUCACCAACUGAGCCACCCAGGCGCCCACUUGCUCCUUUUAAAGUAGCCCAAAGUCUGCAUUUUCCUGGAGAAAUGUCCAAGUGAUGAUGUAUCCCACGAAUAUGCUAGAAUUCUUGAGACUUUUCAGCUCAUGCGCAGCUCCAGCAUCGUUACUGCCACUCCCCUGAGCCUGGCCUCUCACUCCUAGGCUUGGUGCCUGACCCCAGAGGAGCCCUUGAGAUGUGAGUAGUUAUUGUAAAAGCAACGGACUUUCUAGUGAAAAGGAAACUUACCCUUACAAAUGAAUUUGGAUUUUCCUUUUCUCUCCCCAUCACUGACCGUUUAGAAAUACGUUUAGUUUAUUUGCAGAAACUUCACAGUUGCACUCCACUCAUAACAACUUCCCCUUAGACUUGAGAAACGCUUCUGGGUCCCAAAUUUUAGAGAAAAACUAGGAUCUACCCUACGUCAACUUGGGCAGAAGGAGUCAGUGCUUUUCAGGGUUCUCAGACUCAAGGCCUCCCUUUACGUAACACAUAUUUGGAGGUGCUUCUUUUCCAUUCUAGAAUGAAAUUUGCAGACAGCGUAACCUAACUAUACAUGUAGUAAAAAAAACAACGAAUGUGAGAUACAAACUGUAAUAGAAAAGAGAAAUAGAAGUAAUAUAACACGAUACGCAUUUCGAUAUGUAAAUGGCUAAAGUGCAAGAUAAACUGUACGAAUUUCCAGAACAUUUCACAGGGAAGGGAACUAACCCGGGGAGAAGUUCUCUCAGUGCCCUGCCCUGUCUGGCAUUGUGGGGUGUAAAGGUGAGUUUGGGGUCAGCUCUCUGUGACUUAGAGCAAGUUCCCGAUUUGGGCUGAGCCCGGGGCACCCUCGGUUAAGGAGGACACUGCUCCACGGGACUGCUCUUUGCUUUCAUAACAUAUGACAAGCGAGGGACACCUGGAACCGUGUACAGCUCACAACAGGACCACGACGAAGGUCCACUCCUGUCCCUGCUUUCCCAGAGGAGGCAAGGGGACCGCAAGCCCAGGGCUUCUUCUUUGCCUGCCUGCAAGGUUUAGCCAGGUGGGCUUAGUGUCUUUUUUUCUGGGGGAAAUGACAAAUGGGGGCGGUUCAAAGAUUGAGCUGUUAGAGAAACACUGACGUUUCCUGCUUUCUCCGCCUUGUUCAAGUAGAUGGAAGGGGUCCCGGGCAAAUUUCUUGUUCUUCUCAGCAGAGUCUCGCAGGCUAGUGGCUUUAGGCACAUUCCAACUACCUGUCAUCGCAGGUAAGGGCACUUUGCAAGCUGUUGCGAGGUGUGUGGAGGACCGGACUGGGACUUGGAAAGCAAUCUGCACUCUGUUUUUCCAGGACAAGGGUUUAUGAGGGGUAGCCUUUGACAGAGGGGGUGCGACUGGUGGUAAAGGGUCCCCGGCAUCCUAUGCUGUUUAGACUGUCAGCAUUCUGGGCCAACCAUGAAGCAGAGGCCAAAGGGAUUCUCUUUGUAAUCUCUAAAAAUAAUUUGCCGGUUUCUUUUCUGAGCCGGUGGCCUCCAGAUAAAGUUCCCUGAGAUAUUUUGGAGAGAGAAAAAUGCAACUCUUUUAAGAAAAUGACUCAAUCUAGACUGUCACUUGGCAGCGUGGGAAAGGAUUUGGGGAGGGGGCGCAUUGGGGGGAAACUUAAAAGAUUCAUUUGUCCGCCCCCCCCCCCCCCCCCCGUCCAUCUAGAAAUCCU